CCUACGGGUGGCAGCAGUGGGGAAUAUUGCACAAUGGGGGAAACCCUGAUGCAGCGACGCCGCGUGAGUGAAGAAGUAUUUCGGUACGUAAAGCUCUAUCAGCAGGGAAGAAAAAAAGUCCUUUGGACUUUGGACGGUACCUGACUAAGAAGCCCCGGCUAACUACGUGCCAGCAGCCGCGGUAAUACGUAGGGGGCAAGCGUUAUCCGGAUUUACUGGGUGUAAAGGGAGCGUAGACGGCAGCGCAAGUCUGGAGUGAAAUGCCGGGGCCCAACCCCGGAACUGCUUUGGAAACUGUGCAGCGGGAGUGCAGGAGAGGUAAGGGGAAUUCUGGGUGUAGCGGGGAAAGGCGAAGAUAUGAGGAGGA
rnacentral:rRNA from 1 species